AGUUGCACCACAUAUUCUUCCAUUCUUGUAAAAUUCAAGCUCGACAAAUUUGCCCAAAUGAUUGUAACUGCUUGUAAGUUGUGCACAUCUUAUAAUUUAUCAAAACGUCUGUAAAUAACACAUUGUAAGUUGUAAAUAAUUUAUUGAAUUUAAUUUUACUAGUUACAAAAUCACAAGUUGUGUGAAUUUAAAGUUUUUCCUUAUCGUUUAUAUUUUCUUAUUCUAUUUUUUUGUAUUUUGUAAGGUUAUGACACCUAGUAAGCAUUGGAUGCAACUUUCUCUUGAUAAACGGGUUGACCAGGCCUAUUUAGAUGGGGUGAAAAAAUUUUUGAAUUAUGUUUUUCGAGGUCUGUCUUUGCUAAUUUUAUCCAUAUAGUCAACUCCUACAAGUUGAUGCCUUAUUUUUUGUCAAAUAGUCACUGAGAAAUUGUAUUUAAACAGUAGCAGUUUGUUUUCUCCAUGUUCUAUUGGUAAGGAACGAGGAACUGGAUAUAAAAACUCCAUCAUUCCUUCUAGUGAAGUUCAUACUCCCUUUCAUUCAUUUACUAAUCAAGUAAAGCAAUGUACCAAAGAAGUUGAAACAAGUGCUAUAGAAAAGGGACGUGAGCAAAUGCCUAGAUCUUUCUGCUCAUCUUUAGGGUUUCUGAAAAUAAUUUGGAAUCUAGUCAAGGACUACCAUCAAUGGAUAAAAAUCCCCUUGUUCUUGAGAAAGAGAACACGGAAAUCAAAUCCCAUGGUUCUACUGAUCAAGUAAGGCAACCCUCCCAAACAACAGAAAUAGGAUCAUCUUAUCCUAAGAAGGUAAAAAGGGUUCGAAGAAUAAAAAAGUGUAAAGAAGUUGCAUCACUUGAAGCCAAAAAGAAGCUGAAAAUAACAUUCUACAUUAAUCGAACGGUUGGAACAAAUAGCAAUCUGUUUUCGAGGCACCUGGGAAAAAUAAUUUGUGAUUGUAAAACAUGUGUCCAUUGGGAGUAUCAUUGUGGAGUGAUAUCAAGCAACAAAAAAUGGAUCAUACGUGGACAAUUAUUGCAGUAACAAUUAUGAAUUACAUCGUUUAACUUGUUGAAUCACAACUUACUUUUUGUCGGGAAAACGCGGACAAGCACAAAAGUAUGUAUGGUAAAAGUAAUGGAAAUAAAAUGGGAAAAUAACGACACCAAGAAUUUUACGUGG